GGAAUUUGAGGGCACCGGAUGGUGAGGCAGGCAUGCACCGGUCAGCAGUGCCGUGGGUGUGGCUGCAGCAGAGGCCCCGCUUAUGUAAUGAAUGCCCAGGCACGUCUGCUCCAAAGUAAGUCCCACUGAGUUCAGCGGGGCUUGACUUCAAUGGGACUUACUUGCAGAUUUACCAUUUUCCGUCGCCCAGCGGAUUUACUAUAUUCUCUCCGUAAUACUUAAUACAUCUGAUGAAAAGUACUGUAAUUCACAAAAGCUGAUGGCAGAAUAAAUCAGUCUUUAAAAUGCU